UUUUUUUCUCUCUCGACAAAAACAAGAAACACGACUCUCUCUCUCUCGAUCUCGCGAUUGCGAUCAAAGGAAGUGAUGAACAAACGCCAAUUUCGUGAGUUUCCGAUGAGUCGACGCAGAUUUCGUUUUCUUUUUUCUGCGAGCAUCAACACUUUUCACUUAAUCGCUCCGGCGGUGGCGACGGCAACGUGACGGAGACGUUGUCGUAAAAUUAGGGUUUAUCUUUCUUGGCUUGUUGUUGUUGAAGAAGAAGGUAUGGUGAGGAAACACGGUUGGCAACUUCCCGCUCACACUCUUCAGGUAAAGAUCGAAUGUAACCUUCUCUAUAGCCAAAGCUUCGAUUUUCCAUGAUUGCUUUCUAGAAUCUGGUCAAUAUGAAGUCACAAUUGGCUGUGAUUUCAAUUGGGUUUUGUGUAUUUUUCUCUCGGGUGAUUGCAAUUACGGUGUUUUGCUUGUUGGUGGUCGCUUUCUAUGCUUUCUUCGCUCCUUUUGUUGGAGGUCGUAUUUGGGAAUACGUUUUGAUCGGUGUUUACUCUCCUGUGGCUAUUCUUGUAUUUGUUUUGUAUGUUUGGUGUACUGCAAUCAAUCCUGCGGAUCCAAGGAUCAUGUCGAUGUUGUGGCAAUGAGAGCCAUGAGCGAGACGCUAGAUGGAGCAUCUGUUGAUGAGAGAAGAAGUAUGAAUAUUGGAGCUGGUGUUGCUGGUUCUGCUUUGGCUUAUACUCUUGGAAAGGAAAAUCGCAAAGCAUCUAAGGUUGCCACCCGUUAAGCUACAUUGCAGUAUGCUUGCAGAGGACGCUAUCAUGUCUGCGGUCAGAGACUACAAAGAGAAGCAAGCAUAGGCUAAUGCUAAUAGCUGAGCAUGUCUAUUGACCCAACUCACAAGUCUUUUUCUGCAUUGUGAUUCCUCUUUCUUCAGUGUCUUAUGGAAUAAUUGUUGCAGUGAUAUUGCUAAUUUUAAUCAUCUGAUAUUAGACAUAGCUAAGCAAUUCACAAAAUAAGAUUAUGGUGACACAAGCUUUGGCAUGAACAAUCACAAAAUAAGAUCAAGUCACCAAUCAGUUUGUA